rnacentral:rRNA from 1 species
GACGAACGCUGGCGGCGUGCUUAACACAUGCAAGUCGAACGGGCCCGCCCCUGUUUUUGGGGGUGGGUUGAGUGGCGAACGGGAGAGUAUCACGUGAGUAACCUGCCCCCUGCUCCUGGAUAACUGCUUGAAAGGGCGGCUAAUACGGGGUGUGCCGGCUGGUCCGCAUGGGCCUGGUCGGGAUAGUUUCAUCUUCGGGUGUUUCGGUGGGGGAUGGGCUCGCAGCCUAUCAGCUUGUUGGUGGGGUGAUGGCCCACCAAGGCGGUGACGGGUAGCCGGCCUGAGAGGGUGGGCGGCCACACUGGGACUGAGACACGGCCCAGACUCCGGCGGGAGGCAGCAGUGGGGGGUAUUGCACAAUGGGCGGAAGCCUGAUGCAGCGACGUCGCGUGAGGGAUGGAGGCCUUCGGGUUGUGAACCUCUUUCUCCGGUGGUGAAGGCCCUGUCCGUUGCGGCGGGGUUGACGGUAGCCGGGUAUGAAGCGCCGGCUAACUACGUG